AAUUUUAUUGAAUUGUGUGAUGAUGAAGAUGUUGUUGUUAAACCUAUGAAAUUUAAUUGAAUUGUGUGAUGAUGAAAAUGUUGUUGUUAAACCCAUGAAAUUUGAAUGAAUUGUGUGAAUGAUGAAAACGUUGAUGUUAAACCUAUGAAAUUUGAUAGAAUUGUUUGAAUGAUGAAGAAAAUGUUGUUGUUAAACCCAUGAAAUUUGAUUGAAUCGUGUGAAUGAUGAAAACGUUGUGGUUAAACCCAUGAAAUUUGACUGAAUUGUGCGAAUGAUGAAGAAAAUGUUGUUGUUAUACCUAUGAAAUUUGAUGGAAUUGUGUGAAUGAUGAAAAUGUUGUUGUUAAACCCAUGAAAUUUAAUUGACUUUUGUGAAUGAUGAAAAUGUUGUUGUUAAACCCAUGAAAUUUAAUUGAAUUGUGUGAACGAUGAAAACGUUGUUGUUAAACCUAUGCAAUUUGAUUAAAUUGUGUGAAUGAUGAAAACGUUGUUGUUAAACUCAUGAAAUUUAAUUGAAUUGUGUGAAUGAUGAAGAAAAUGUUGUUGUUAAACCUAUGAAAUUUGGUUCAAUUGUGUGAAUGAUGAAAAUGUUGAUGUUAAACCCAUGAACUUUGAUUGAAUUGUGUAAAUGAUGAAAACGUUGUUGUUAAACCUAUGAAAUUUGGUUGAAUUGUGCGAACGAUGAAAACGUUGUUGUUAAACCUAUGCAAUUUGACUAAAUUGUGUGAAUGAUGAAAAUGUUGUUGUUAAACCCAUGAAAUUUAAUUGAAUAGUGUGAACGAUGAAAACGUUGAUGUUAAACCUAUGAAAUUUGGUUCAAUUGUGCGAAUGAUGAAAAUGUUGAUGUUAAACCCAUGAACUUUGAUUGAAUUGUGUGAUGAUGAAAACGUUGUUGUUAAACCUGUGAAAUUUGAUUGAAUUGUGUGAAUGAUGAAAAUGUAGUUGUUAAACCUAUGAAAUUUGGUUCAAUUGUGUGAACGAUGAAAACGUUGUUGUUAAACCCAUGAACUUUGAUUCAAUUGUGUGAAUGAUGAAAAUGUUGAUGUUAAACCCAUGAAAUUUGGUUGAAUUGUGCGAAUGAUGAAAACGUUUUGUUAAACCUGUGCAAUUUGGUUGAAUUGUGCGAAUGAUGAAGAUGUUGUUGUUAAACCUGUGCAAUUUGAUUAAAUUGUGUGAACGAUGAAAAUGUAGUUGUUAAACCCAUGAAAUUUGGUUCAAUUGUGUGAACGAUGAAAACGUUGAUGUUAAACCCAUGAACUUUGAUUCAAUUGUGUGAAUGAUGAAAAUGUUUUGUUAAACCCGUGAAAUUUGGUUGAAUUGUGCGAAUGAUGAAAACGUUGUUGUUAAACCUAUGAAAUUUGGUUGAAUUGUGCGAAUGAUGAAAAUGUUGUUGUUAAACCCAUGAAAUUUGGUUCAAUUGUGUGAAUGAUGAAAAUGUUGAUGUUAAACCCAUGAACUUUGGUUGAAUUGUGUGAAUGAUGAAAAUGUUGUUAAACCCAUGAAAUUUGGUUGAAUUGUGCGAAGGAUGAAGAUGUUUUGUUAAACCUGUGCAAUUUGAUUAAAUUGUGUGAUGAUGAAAAUGUAGUUGUUAAACCCAUGAAAUUUGAUUAAAUUGUGUGAAUGAUGAAAAUGUAGUUGUUUAGGGUUUAGGGUUUAGGGUUUAGGGUUUAGCGUUUAGGGUUUAGGGUUUUUUUAGGGUUUUUUAGGGUUUAGGGUUUAGGGUUUAGGGUUUUUUUAGGGUUUAGGGUUUAGGGUUUAGGGUUUAGGGUUUAGGGUUUAGGGUUUUUUUAGGGUUUAGGGUUUAGGGUUUAGGGUUUAGGGUUUAGGGUUUAGGGUUUUUUAGGGUUUAGGGUUUAGGGUUUAGGGUUUUUUUAGGGUUUAGGGUUUAGGGUUUAGGGUUUUUUUAGGGUUUAGGGUUCAGGGUUUAGGGUUUAGGGUUUAGGGUUUAGGGUUUAGGGUUCAGGGUUCAGGGUUCAGGGUUUAGGGUUUAGGGUUUAGGGUUUUUUUAGGGUUCAGGGUUCAGGGUUCAGGGUUCAGGGUUCAGGGUUCAGGGUUCAGGGUUCAGGGUUUAGGGUUUUUUUAGGGUUCAGGGUUCAGGGUUAGGGUUUAGGGUUUAGGGUUUAGNAUGUUGUUGUUAAACCUAUGGAAUUUGAUUGAAUUGUGUGAAUGAUGAAAACGUUGUUGUUAAACCCAUGAAAUUUGAUUGAAUUGUGUGAAUAAUGAAAAUGUUGAUGUUAAACCUAUGAAAUUUGUUUCAAUUGUGUGAAUGAUGAAAAUGUUGUGGUUAAACCCAUGAACUUUGAUUGAAUUGUGUGAAUGAUGAAAACGUUGAUGUUAAACCUAUGAAAUUUGGUUGAAUUGUGCGAAUAAUGAAAAUGUUGUUGUUAAACCUAUGAAAUUUGGUUCAAUUGUGUGAAUGAUGAAAAUGUUGUUGUUAAACCCAUGAACUUUGAUUGAAUUGUGUGAAUGCUGAAAACAUUGAUGUUAAACCCAUGAAAUUUGGUUGAAUUGUGCGAAUGUUGAAAACAUUGGUAAACCUAUGAAAUUUGAUUGAAUUGUGUGAAUGAUGAAGAUGUUUUGUUAAACCUGUGCAAUUUGAUUGAAUUGUGUGAUGAUGAAAAUGUAGUUGUUAAACCCAUGAAAUUUGAUUGAAUUGUGUGAAGGAUGAAAACGUUGAUGUUAAACCCAUGAAAUUUGAUUGAAUUAUGUGAAUGAUAAAAAUGUUGUUGUUAAACCUAUGAAAUUUGAUUGAAUUGUGUGAAUGAUGAAAAUGUUGUUGUUAAACCCAUGAAAUUUGAUUGAAUUGUGUGAAUGAUGAAAACGUUGAUGUUAAACCUAUGAAAUUCGAAUGAAUUGUGCGUGUGAUGAAGAAAAUGUUAUUGUCAAACCUAUGAAAUUUGAUUGAAUUGUGUGAAUGAUGAAAAUGUUGUUGUUAAACCCAUGAAAUUUGAUUGAAUUUUGUGAAUGAUGAAAAUGUUGUUGUUAAACCCAUGAAAUUUGAUUGAAUUGUGUGAAUAAUGAAAAUGUUGUUGUUAAAUCUAUGAAAUUUGAUUGAAUUGUGUGAAUGAUGAAAAUGUUGUUGUUAAACCCAUGAACUUUGAUUGAAUUGUGUGAAGGAUGAAAGGUUGUUGUUAAACCCAUGAAAUUUGAUUAAAUUGUGUGAAUAAUGAAAAUGUUGAUGUUAAAGCUAUGAAAUUUGAUUCAAUUGUGUGAAUGAUAAAAAUGUUGUUGUUAAACCCAUGAACUUUGAUUGAAUUGUGUGAAUGAUAAAAACGUUGAUGUUAAACCUAUGAAAUUUGGUUGAAUUGUGCGAAUAAUGAAAAUGUUGAUGUUAAACCUAUGAAAUUUGAUUCAAUUGUCUGAAUGGUGAAGAUGUUGUUGUUAAACCUAUGAAAUUUGAUUGAAUUGUGUGAAUGAUGAAAACGUUGAUGUUAAACCUAUGAAAUUUGAUUGAAUUGUGCGAAUAAUGAAAAAAAAGUUGUUAAACCUAUGAAAUUUGAUUGAAUUGUGUGAAUGAUGAAGAAAAUGUUGAUGUUAAACCUAUGAAAUUUGAUUGAAUUUGUGAAUGAUGAAAAUGUUGUUGUUAAACCCAUGAAAUUUGAUUGAAUUGUGUGAAUGAUGAAAAUGUUGUUGUUAAACCCAUGAAAUUUGAUUGAAUUGUGUGAAUGAUGAAAAUGUUGUUGUUAAACCCAUGAAAUUUGAUUGAAUUGUGUGAAUGAUGAAAAUGUUGUUGUUAAACCCAUGAAAUUUGAUUGAAUUGUGUGAAUGAUGAAAAUGUUGUUGUUAAACCCAUGAAAUUUGAUUGAAUUGUGUGAAUGAUGAAAAUGUUGUUGUUAAACCCAUGAAAUUUGAUUGAAUUGUGUGAAUGAUGAAAAUGUUGUUGUUAAACCCAUGAAAUUUGAUUGAAUUGUGUGAAUGAUGAAAAUGUUGUUGUUAAACCCAUGAAAUUUGAUUGAAUUGUGUGAAUGAUGAAAAUGUUGUUGUUAAACCCAUGAAAUUUGAUUGAAUUGUGUGAAUGAUGAAAAUGUUGUUGUUAAACCCAUGAAAUUUGAUUGAAUUGUGUGAAUGAUGAAAAUGUUGUUGUUAAACCCAUGAAAUUUGAUUGAAUUGUGUGAAUGAUGAAAAUGUUGUUGUUAAACCCAUGAAAUUUGAUUGAAUUGUGUGAAUGAUGAAAAUGUUGUUGUUAAACCCAUGAAAUUUGAUUGAAUUGUGUGAAUGAUGAAAAUGUUGUUGUUAAACCCAUGAAAUUUGAUUGAAUUGUGUGAAUGAUGAAAAUGUUGUUGUUAAACCCAUGAAAUUUGAUUGAAUUGUGUGAAUGAUGAAAAUGUUGUUGUUAAACCCAUGAAAUUUGAUUGAAUUGUGUGAAUGAUGAAAAUGUUGUUGUUAAACCCAUGAAAUUUGAUUGAAUUGUGUGAAUGAUGAAAAUGUUGUUGUUAAACCCAUGAAAUUUGAUUGAAUUGUGUGAAUGAUGAAAAUGUUGUUGUUAAACCCAUGAAAUUUGAUUGAAUUGUGUGAAUGAUGAAAAUGUUGUUGUUAAACCCAUGAAAUUUGAUUGAAUUGUGUGAAUGAUGAAAAUGUUGUUGUUAAACCCAUGAAAUUUGAUUGAAUUGUGUGAAUGAUGAAAAUGUUGUUGUUAAACCCAUGAAAUUUGAUUGAAUUGUGUGAAUGAUGAAAAUGUUGUUGUUAAACCCAUGAAAUUUGAUUGAAUUGUGUGAAUGAUGAAAAUGUUGUUGUUAAACCCAUGAAAUUUGAUUGAAUUGUGUGAAUGAUGAAAAUGUUGUUGUUAAACCCAUGAAAUUUGAUUGAAUUGUGUGAAUGAUGAAAAUGUUGUUGUUAAACCCAUGAAAUUUGAUUGAAUUGUGUGAAUGAUGAAAAUGUUGUUGUUAAACCCAUGAAAUUUGAUUGAAUUGUGUGAAUGAUGAAAAUGUUGUUGUUAAACCCAUGAAAUUUGAUUGAAUUGUGUGAAUGAUGAAAAUGUUGUUGUUAAACCCAUGAAAUUUGAUUGAAUUGUGUGAAUGAUGAAAAUGUUGUUGUUAAACCCAUGAAAUUUGAUUGAAUUGUGUGAAUGAUGAAAAUGUUGUUGUUAAACCCAUGAAAUUUGAUUGAAUUGUGUGAAUGAUGAAAAUGUUGUUGUUAAACCCAUGAAAUUUGAUUGAAUUGUGUGAAUGAUGAAAAUGUUGUUGUUAAACCCAUGAAAUUUGAUUGAAUUGUGUGAAUGAUGAAAAUGUUGUUGUUAAACCCAUGAAAUUUGAUUGAAUUGUGUGAAUGAUGAAAAUGUUGUUGUUAAACCCAUGAAAUUUGAUUGAAUUGUGUGAAUGAUGAAAAUGUUGUUGUUAAACCCAUGAAAUUUGAUUGAAUUGUGUGAAUGAUGAAAAUGUUGUUGUUAAACCCAUGAAAUUUGAUUGAAUUGUGUGAAUGAUGAAAAUGUUGUUGUUAAACCCAUGAAAUUUGAUUGAAUUGUGUGAAUGAUGAAAAUGUUGUUGUUAAACCCAUGAAAUUUGAUUGAAUUGUGUGAAUGAUGAAAAUGUUGUUGUUAAACCCAUGAAAUUUGAUUGAAUUGUGUGAAUGAUGAAAAUGUUGUUGUUAAACCCAUGAAAUUUGAUUGAAUUGUGUGAAUGAUGAAAAUGUUGUUGUUAAACCCAUGAAAUUUGAUUGAAUUGUGUGAAUGAUGAAAAUGUUGUUGUUAAACCCAUGAAAUUUGAUUGAAUUGUGUGAAUGAUGAAAAUGUUGUUGUUAAACCUAUGAAAUUUGAUUGAAUUGUGUGAAUGAUGAAAAUGUUGUUGUUAAACCCAUGAACUUUGAUUGUAUUGUGUGAAUGAUGAAAACGUUGAUGUUAAACCUAUGAAAUUUGGUUGAAUUGUGCGAAUGAUGAAGAAAACGUUGUUGUUAAACCUAAGAAAUUUGAUUGAAUUAUGCGAAUGAUGAAGAUGUUGUUCCUAAACCCUUGAAAUUUUAUUGAAUUGUGUGAAUGAUGAAGAUGUUGUUGUUAAACCUAUGAAAUUUGAUUGAAUUGUGUGAUGAUGAAAAUGUUGGUGUUAAACCCAUGAAAUUUGAAUGAAUUGUGUGAAUGAAGAAAACGUUGAUGUUAAACCUAUGAAAUUUGAUUGAAUCGUAUGAAUGAUGAAAAUGUUGUUAUUAAACCCAUGAAAUUUGAUUGAAUUUUGUGAAUGAUGCAAAUGUUGCUGUUAAACCCAUGAAAUUUGAUUGAUUUGUGUGAAUAAUGAAAAUGUUGUUGUAAAUUUAUGAAUUUUGAUUGAAUUGUGUGAAUGAUGAAAAUGUUGUUGUUAAACCCAUGAACUUUGAUUGAAUUNNNNNNNNNNNNNNNNNNNNNNNNNNNNNNNNNNUGUUAAACCUAUGAAAUUUGGUUCAAUUGUGUGAAUGAUGAAAAUGUUGUUGUUAAACCCAUGAACUUUGAUUGAAUUGUGUGAAUGAUGAAAACGUUGAUGUUAAACCUAUGAAAUUUGGUUGAAUUGUGCGAUUAAUGAAAAUGUUGUUGUUAAACCUAUGAAAUUUGGUUCAAUUGUGUGAAUGAUGAGAAUGUUGUUGUUAAACCCAUGAACUUUGAUUGAAUUGUGUGAAUGAUGAAAACAUUGAUGUUAAACCCAUGAAAUUUGGUUGAAUUGUGCGAAUGAUGAAAACGUUGUUAAACCUAUGAAAUUUGAUUGAAUUGUGUAAAUGAUGAAGAUGUUUUGUUAAACCUGUGCAAUUUGAUUGACUUGUGUGAUGAUGAAAAUGUAGUUGUUAAACCCAUGAAAUUUGAUUGAAUUGUGUGAAGGAUGAAAAUGUUGAUGUUAAACCUAUGAAAUUUGAUUGAAUUGUGUGAAUGAUGAAAAUGUUGAUGUUAAACCUAUGCAAUUUGAUUGAAUUUGUGAAUGAUGAAAAUGUUGUUGUUAAACCCAUGAAAUUUGAUUGAAUUGUGUGAAUGAUGAAAAUGUUGUUGUUAAACCCAUGAGAUUUGAUUGAAUUUUGUGAAUGAUGAAAAUGUUGUUGUUAAACCCAUGAAAUUUGAUUGAAUUGUGUGAUGAUGAAAAUGUUGUUGUUAAACCCAUGAACUUUGAUUGAAUUGUGUGAAUAAUGAAAAUGUUGUUGUUAAACCUAUGAUAUUUGAUUGAAUUGAGUGAAUGAUGAAAAUGUUGUUGUUAAACCCAUGAAAUUUGAUUGAAUUGUGUGAAUGAUGAAAACGUUGAUGUUAAACCUAUGAAAAUUGAAUGAAUUAUGCGUAUGAUGAAGAAAAUGUUGUUGUCAAACCUAUGAAAUUUGAUUGAAUUGUGUGAAUGAUGAAAAUGUUGUUGUUAAACCCAUGAAAUUUGAUUGAAUUUUGUGAAUGAUGAAAACGUUGUUGUUAAACCCAUGAAAUUUGAUUAAAUUGUGUGAAUAAUGAAAAUGUUGAUGUUAAACCUAUGAAAUUUGAUUCAAUUGUGUGAAUGAUGAAAAUGUUGUUGUUAAACCCAUGAAAUUUGAUUGAAUUGUGUGAAUG
rnacentral:lncRNA from 1 species